AACGCGAAGAACCUUACCUAGCCUUGACAUGCACUGGACCGGCGCUGAAAGGCGCUUUUCCCGCAAGGGACCGGUGCACAGGUGCUGCAUGGCUGUCGUCAGCUCGUGUCGUGAGAUGUUGCGUUAAGUCGCGCAACGAGCGCAACCCCUGUCCUUAGUUGCCACCAUUAAGUUGGGCACUCUAGGGAGACAAACCCUCUUUGAGGGUGGGAAGGUGGGGAUGACGUCAAGUCAGGAUGGCCCUUACGGCUAGGGCUGCACACGUGCUACAAUGCCCGGUACAGAGGGAAGCAAGACCGCGAGGUGGAGCAAAUCCUCAAAACCGGGCCCAGUUCAGAUUGUAGUCUGCAACUCGACUACAUGAAGUUGGAAUCGCUAGUAAUGGCGUAUCAGCUACGACGCCGUGAAUACGUUCCCGGGCCUUGUA
rnacentral:rRNA from 1 species